rnacentral:rRNA from 1 species
UACAUAGGGGGCAAGCGUUAUCCGGAAUUAUUGGGCGUAAAGGGUGCGUAGGCGGUCAUUUAAGUCUUUGGUGUAAGUGCAAGGCUCAACCUUGUGAUGCUAAGGAAACUGAUGACUUGAGUGUGAUAGAGGUAAGUGGAAUUCCAUGUGUAGCGGUAAAAUGCGUAAAUAUAUGGAGGAACACCAGUGGCGAAGGCGGCUUACUGGGUCACAACUGACGCUGAGGCACGAGAAGCGUGGGGAGCAAACAGGAUUAGAUACCCUGGUAGUCCACGCCGUAAACGAUGAGUACUAAGUGUUGGAGAGAUUCAGUGCUGUAGUUAACGCAAUAAGUACUCCGCCUGAGUAGUACGUACGCAAGUAUGAAACUCAAAGGAAUUGACGGGACCCCGCACAAGCGGUGGAUCAUGUUGUUUAAUUCGAUGAUACGCGAAAAACCUUACCAGGUCUUGACAUCCCAUGCAAAGCUUAAGAGAUUAAGUGGAGGUUACCAUGGAGACAGGUGGUGCAUGGUUGUCGUCAGCUCGUGUCGUGAGAUGUUGGGUUAAGUCCCGCAACGAGCGCAACCCUUAUUGCUAGUUACCAUCAUUAACUUGGGGACUCUAGCGGGACUGCCAGUGAUAAACUGGAGGAAGGUGGGGAUGACGUCAAA